CCAGCUUCCUGCCCUGGAACCUCCAAUCUACUCUAUCAAAUUCAACAUUAACACAAAAUACGAAGUGCAACUUUCUUAUCCUCAUAAGGUUUUUUACGCCCUUAAUAGCUGCUAGACUUUCUUUCAGAUUCAUGUUGUGUCACUUCCUAAGACUUUUGCCCAUUUAAGAUAAACAGGAUGUUUGAACAAAAGCCCUACUUAUACAACCUAACUGAAAGCAGCAGCACUUCGACAUCUGAGUAUCACCACUGAAAAGGAAUCAGUUUAUCCUGAAGAUGGCAGGUGCAAAGGCCCACGCAACUGUUCGUGGUGGGGCAGACCUUACUGUCGGAUCAGCUGGGCUCGUGGAAAUGAUUGACACCUUUGACCGUCCUGGUAAAGCCUCUGCUAAAAAAAACCUAUGCACGAGCAGGGACGUUUGCAAAUGGACCGGAGAACAAACCAAUGAAGCGUAUUCCUAAAGCAGGAGUUUACGCUGAAGCUGGAGUUGGUGAAGCCCGGGCUGAAUGGAGCGUGUUUGAAGCUGAAGCUAAAGGACCCAACGUCAGCGCAGGAGCCGGGGUUUCUGCAGGGACCCUGAAUGCCAGAGCUUUCGCUAAAGCAGAGUUAGCGGGUGCUUCUGCCUCCGCUGGUCCGCUGAAGGCUAAAGUCGGUCUGGCAGACGACAUCGGGGUUGAUAUCGGUCUGACAGGUGUGGAAGCUAAAGUGUUGGGGACCGGCUUUUCUUUUGGUCGUAAAGUGGGCGUGUCUGUCUUUGGCACUGGGGUUGAAUUCAACUUGUGGUAGUUCAAAGAAUAUUUUCCCCAUGAUCAUUCUUUGGACAUUAUCGAAAACCACAAAUCAAUAAAAUAAGCAACAUUUUCAAUUAAAAAAAAAUUGUUG